rnacentral:rRNA from 1 species
AGAGGGUGCGAGCGUUGUCCGGAAUUACUGGGCGUAAAGGGCGCGUAGGCGGCUUGAUAAGUAUGGGGUGAAAUCUCACGGCUCAACCGUGAGGCUGCCUUGUAGACUGUCAGGCUUGAGCACGGUAGAGGCAGAUGGAGUUCCCGGUGUAGCGGUGGAAUGCGUAGAGAUCGGGAAGAACACCAGUGGCGAAGGCGGUCUGCUGGGCCGUAGCUGACGCUGAUGCGCGACAGCGUGGGGAGCAAACAGGAUUAGAUACCCUGGUAGUCCACGCCGUAAACGAUGGGCACUAGGCGUCGGGGGGAGCGACCCUCCCGGUGCCGUCGCUAACGCUGUAAGUGCCCCGCCUGGGGAGUACGGCCGCAAGGCUG